rnacentral:rRNA from 1 species
AUCCCCCACACUGGUACUGAGACACGGACCAGACUCCUACGGGAGGCAGCAGUGAGGAAUAUUGGGCAAUGGAGGCAACUCUGACCCAGCCAUGCCGCGUGCAGGAAGACGGCCCUAUGGGUUGUAAACUGCUUUUAUACAGGAAGAAACCUUGGUACGUGUACCAAGCUGACGGUACUGUAAGAAUAAGCACCGGCUAACUCCGUGCCAGCAGCCGCGGUAAUACGGAGGGUCCGAGCGUUGUCCGGAAUUAUUGGGUUUAAAGGGUACGUAGGCUGAUUAAUCAGUCAGAGCUGAAAUCCUAUGGCUUAACCAUAGAACUGGCUUUGAUACUGUUAAUCUUGAGUAUGGUAGAGAUAGGCGGAAUUUAUGAUGUAGCGGUGAAAUGCAUAGAUAUCAUAAAGAACACCGAUAGCGAAGGCAGCUUGUUGGACCAUAACUGACGCUAAUGUACGAAAGUGCGGGUAUCGAACAGGAUUAGAUACCCUGGUAGUCCGCACCGUAAACGAUGCUCACUCGUUGUUGGCGAUAGACAGUCA